GACGAACGCUGGCGGCGUGCCUAAUACAUGCAAGUCGAACGCAGUGGGGACGGGUGAGUAACACGUGGGUAACCUCCCAUCAGAGGGGAUAACACUUGGAAACGGGUGCUAAACCGAUACUGAUGGAUGGACCCGCGGUGCAUUAGCCAGUUGGUGGGGUAACGGCUCACCAAGGCCACGAUGCAUAGCGGACCUGAGAAGGUGAUCAACCACACUGGGACUGAGAGUCGGCCCAGACUCCUACGGGAGGCAACAGUAGGGAAUCUUCGGCAAUGAACGAAAGUCUGACCGAGCAAGGCCGCGAAAGUGAAGAAGGUUUUCGGAUCGUAAGACUCUGUAGUUAGGGAAGCGGUAUCUAACCAGAAAGCCACGGCUAACUACGUGCCAGCAGCCGCGGUAAUUC
rnacentral:rRNA from 1 species